rnacentral:miRNA from 1 species
CCUGUGUGUGUGUGUGUGUGUGUGUGUGUGUGUGUGUGUGUGUUCCUGAGGGUUUCUGCUCAUGCCACCACAUCCACA